UACGGAGGGUGCGAGCGUUGUCCGGAAUCAUUGGGCGUAAAGGGCGCGUAGGUGGCGUGACAAGCGUGCGGUGAAAGCUCGGGGCUCAACCCCGAGUCGGCCGUGCGAACUGUUUUGCUUGAGCACUGUAGAGGCAGGCGGAAUUCCGGGUGUAGCGGUGGAAUGCGUAGAGAUCCGGAAGAACACCGGUGGCGAAGGCGGCCUGCUGGGCAGUGGCUGACACUGAGGCGCGACAGCGUGGGGAGCAAACAGG
rnacentral:rRNA from 1 species